CCUCCCCGAGUCCCCGCCUGUCCGUUACUCCACAGCCCCAGGGGACGGGCUCAUGGGGACAUCCGUGCCCCGGCAGGAGCCUGGCCCCCAAGCCCUAUCUCCCCUCCCCCCACCCCGACUGCUUCCAAGGCGAGAGCUUGGGGAAGGUGGUUAGGGGAGUGUUGAUGGGCCGGGGUUCCUAGUGCCCAGUCCAGGGGCUGAGGACAAGGACCCAAAUCAGACCGACACACUGACCCGCCCGCCGGCCCUAAGGACGGACUGCAGCUCGACCGAGCCUCCCCUGCCCGGGCGUCCGUCGGGUCCUAGCGCCCCUGCCGCCACAGCGCUUUGUGUAACAGACCCAGACAGAGUUGCAUCAGGACCCAGGACUGAGAUCUCCAGAAAGGCCCCCGGAGUGCAAUUGAGAGCCCGUGUUUCGUCAUUCAGGCGGGGUCACAGGAAAUCUGGCCUGGCUGCAGUGCUCUGAGGCUGAUAUGAUUGCUCGGGGUGGGAGGAGGCUCGGCUGGAUUCAGCCUUCCUUUCUUUAAAGGUUUAUCAAUCUGGGACACAGGGAUCCUGAUGGAAGAGGGAAUCGAACUUACAUCAGACAGUUGGCCUGGGGUGGUCACAAACCUCACCAGAUUAGACUAGCCGGCCUUGCCUCAGGGCAGGCUUGCACGUGACAAAUGACACUUGCAGAAGUCUUUUCUUCUAGACAGCUGCUUGACUGUGGUGUUCAAUUCAUCUUGACUUCCAGCAGCCAGCACUGUGCCAGGUGUACAGCAGAGGCUCAGUGAAUGUUCUUUGGAUGAACAAAUGAAUGCGUGGUUAAAUGGAUAGCUCCGUGAGGCAAGAACAUGGCUUUUCCCAGAAUGGCACAGACCUACAUCUGGACUCUCAGGGUCUGGCUCCGCCUAUGGGUUGGCCCUUCAGAGGACCUUGGCACAGUCUUUCUGUCCUCUUUCUGACAAGUGCUGCCAAGAACCUUGGACAGAUUUGACCAUUUCUUCUCCUCUUCCUCAGCUGAGGUGUGGGAGCAGGGCUUUUGAGACAACUCAGUUCUUCUGGCUGGAAUAUGUAGUCCGUGAUCCUAGGAAGCUGGGGAGAAAGGUGACCCAAUGCAGAGGGCUGAUUUGUUAUAGGGAAGCUUUUUAAAUAGUCAGUACUUUCCCUUCAAAACUUAAACAUGUUUUUUAAUUGAGAUGAAAUUCAUAUAUAAAAUUAACCAUGUCAAAGUGAA